rnacentral:rRNA from 1 species
CGGGUGAGUAAUGUCUGGGAAACUGCCUGAUGGAGGGGGAUGACUACUGGAAACGGUAGCUAAUACCGCAUAACGUCGCAAGACCAAAGAGGGGGACCUUCGGGCCUCUUGCCAUCGGAUGUGCCCAGAUGGGAUUAGCUAGUAGGUGGGGUAACGGCUCACCUAGGCGACGAUCCCUAGCUGGUCUGAGAGGAUGACCAGCCACACUGGAACUGAGACACGGUCCAG